AACGCGAAGAACCUUACCAGGGUUUGACAUCCUGCGAAUCCCUUGGAAACGAGGGAGUGCCUUCGGGAGCGCAGAGACAGGUGGUGCAUGGCUGUCGUCAGCUCGUGUCGUGAGAUGUUGGGUUAAGUCCCGCAACGAGCGCAACCCACGUCUUUAGUUGCCAGCAUUCAGUUGGGCACUCUAGAGAGACCGCCGGUGAUAAACCGGAGGAAGGUGUGGAUGACGUCAAGUCAUCAUGCCCCUUACAUCCUGGGCUACACACGUACUACAAUGCUACGGACAAAGGGUUGCAAGCUCGCGAGAGUUAGCUAAUCCCAUAAACCGUGGCUCAGUUCAGAUCGUAGGCUGCAACUCGCCUACGUGAAGGAGGAAUCGCUAGUAAUCGCAGGUCAGCAUACUGCGGUGAAUACGUUCCCGGGUCUUGUACACACCG
rnacentral:rRNA from 1 species